rnacentral:rRNA from 1 species
UCAUUACUAGAGCAAAGGAUAGACAGCGCCCGCGGAGCUCGCUCCCGGGGCCACCCUACUCCGGUAGGGUUUAGAGUCGUCGGGCCUCUCGGAGAAGCUCGGUCCUGAACUCCACCCUUGAAUAAACUACCUUUGUUGCUUUGGCGGGCCGCCUCGUGCCAGCGGCUUCGGCUGUUGAGUGCCCGCCAGAGGACCACAACUCUUGUUUUUAGUGAUGUCUGAGUACUAUAUAAUAGUUAAAACUUUCAACAACGGAUCUCUUGGUUCUGGCAUCGAUGAAGAACGCAGCGAAAUGCGAUAAGUAAUGUGAAUUGCAGAAUUCAGUGAAUCAUCGAAUCUUUGAACGCACAUUGCGCCCUCUGGUAUUCCGGGGGGCAUGCCUGUUCGAGCGUCAUUAUAACCACUCAAGCUCUCGCUUGGUAUUGGGGUUCGCGGUUUCGCGGCUCCUAAAAUCAGUGGCGGUGCCUAUCGGCUCUACGCGUAGUAAUACUCCUCGCGAUUGAGUCCGGUAGGUCUACUUGCCAGCAACCCCUAAUUUUUUAAGGUUGACCUCGGAUCAGGUAGGGAUACCCGCUGAACUUAAGCAUAUCAAUAAGCGGAGGAAAAGAAACCAACAGGGAUUACCUCAGUAACGGCGAGUGAAGCGGUAACAGCUCAAUUUGAAAGCUGGCUCUUUUAGGGUCCGCGUUGUAUUUUGUAGAAGAUGCUUCGGGUGUGGCCCCGGUCUAAGUUCCUUGG